rnacentral:rRNA from 1 species
CAAGUCGAACGCGAAAGGGGCUUCGGCCCUGAGUAGAGUGGCGAACGGGUGAGUAACGCGUGGGUGACCUACCUUCGAGUGGGGGAUAACGUCCCGAAAGGGACGCUAAUACCGCAUGACAUCCUGCCCUUGAAUGGGUGGAGAUCAAAGCCGGGGAUCGCAAGACCUGGCGCUUGGAGAGGGGCCCGCGUCCGAUUAGCUAGUUGGUGGGGUAAUGGCUCACCAAGGCAACGAUCGGUAGCCGGCCUGAGAGGGCGGACGGCCACACUGGGACUGAGACACGGCCCAGACUCCUACGGGAGGCAGCAGUGGGGAAUUGUUCACAAUGGGCGCAAGCCUGAUGACGCAACGCCGCGUGGAGGAUGAAGGUCUUCGGAUUGUAAACUCCUGUUGCUCGGGAAGAAAAGCUCCGACCUAACACGUCGGAGUCUGACGGUACCGGGUGAGGAAGCCCCGGCUAACUCUGUGCCAGCAGCCGCGGUAAUACAGAGGGGGCAAGCGUUGUUCGGAAUUACUGGGCGUAAAGGGCGCGUAGGCGGCCUGUUAAGUCGAACGUGAAAUCCCCGGGCUCAACCCGGGAACUGCGUCCGAUACUGGCAGGCUUGAAUUCGGGAGAGGGAUGUGGAAUUCCAGGUGUAGCGGUGAAAUGCGUAGAUAUCUGGAGGAACACCGGUGGCGAAGGCGGCAUCCUGGACCGAUAUUGACGCUGAUGCGCGAAAGCCAGGGGAGCAAACGGGAUUAGAUACCCCGGUAGUCCUGGCCCUAAACGAUGAAUGCUUGGUGUGGCGGGUAUCGAUCCCUGCCGUGCCGAAGCUAACGCAUUAAGCAUUCCGCCUGGGGAG